rnacentral:sRNA from 1 species
AGGACUAUCUUUUUUCUCGUGCGAGGCAUUGUGUUAAGUGUGGGGAUAUAAGAUAUGUCACCCUCCCUUAAGUUUUUAAGGCAAGAAAAAUAGACUUCAAUUGUACACUACCCCUAAGUGCUGAGACGAAAAUAAACCCAGAUGCUAAUUGAGACUGAGAAAUCUCUGGAGGCUUCCAGGAAGGUCUGGCUCGUGUGCUGAGCUUUUAUAAAGUAAUGUAUUUACUGAGAGGAAGGAGAGGCUUAGAAUGUGGCUGGUAAGUGCGUACAUUCUGCAUCUAGGCUAUCUGGGUUCUCUCCAGCCUUGGGUGUGUCCGUGAUUACCCAUAAGCCUAGGCAAGUUACCCAACCUCUUGGUCUCUCAGUUUCCUCCAACGCUGCUGUCAUUGACCCUUUCUAAGGCUGAGAGGACAAAAAAGUUGCACUGCCGUCAAACGUACUGCCUACCCCUUUGCGGAAAGGCCGAGAUGGAGACUCACCGGAAGUGAGGAUGGAGCAGCUAUACACUCGUAAAGCCCUUUUUAUGACUGCUGUGGGGCCCUGGAUACAGGUUCUACGCAACAGGCAGACAGUUCUUUGGUCUCCAUUUUUGAAUGGAGUGCUGCAAGAGAUGCCUGUCAUGUGGAGCAUCGUUCUGCAGUCAGACACCAGAGUUAAUGUAGGUACUUGUCACUGUGGCUGCAAGCAGGCAUUGCCUUCCUUCCCAGUGGAUGAGCACAGGAGCGCUGUGUGGGCAGCCUGGAGAGUGGGUAUUUCGAUUUGAAAAUUUUGUUAGUUGCCAUAGUAAUUGUCACAAUUACGUGGCUUGUUCUGUCUUCAUGGUAGUGAACGCAUCUUAAAAGCACUCAGCAAGCAGU